GGCUACUCAUUCCUCUCUUAAGCUGCUACGUCAGACAUUUUGAUGCAGCAACAGAAGGGUGUCCAGGUUCGCUGGACUCCUGCACCUGUUUUGUUUGGGGCAGCCAUCGUGUGCAUCAUCAAGGGUACAUAGUGUCUUGAGAGCCGUGGACAUCCUUCUUCUAUUUUAUGCGGAUUUAAUUAGGCCGUUUCUCAGAACUUAACACCCUGUUGGAAGAGCCCACAAAGAUCUGCAGAAUCCUCAAGCCUUCAGCUAGAGCCUGUGUGGGAAAUCCUUCACAAAAUAUGAGUUUUGUCAAUUUGAAUAUUAUUUUAUGUAGAAAAUACGCAUGCUAGAUACCAUGGAUGUUAGUUUUAUUGUA